GGUGAGGGCAGAGGCCCGAGGCCGCACCAUCAGCACACUGCUAAGGGCCCCAACCCUUCCUUCUGGCAGCUGUGCAUCUCCCAGGGCCCCAGCGCCCAGAGAAAGCCUCACAUGUGAUCACAAUUACCGUGGGCUUGGCUGGAGCCCAGCCACACCGUGAGCACAUCCAGGCCUGGUAGCCGGCCAAGUUUCCAUCUCAGUAGAAAAAUGAAUAGGGUCAAGGGAUACAUGUUAAUCCCAAACACACGAGUGGGAAGGAGUGGGGUGAGGGGGAGAGGCCAGCCAGAUUUCUCUGGCAAUAUCAGUCCACCAAUAGCUCCUGAGAUCCCCCUUCCCCUUCCACCCCAGGAAGCAGAGCGGCCCCUGGCCAACAGACAAAAAACAGGCUGUGUGCUCGCCUGUUGGGCAUUGUGGUUCCAGAGCCAUCUUGAGAUUGUGGUUAUAAACCUGCUGGCUCCUAAGCCCAAGAUGGAACUCAGCUGCAUCACCAUCCCCCUGCCAUGGAUAAGGAAACUGAGGCAAGGACGAUGGCCUGAAGCCGGGUAGCCGGAGGAGCUGGGAUGGGCCAGUCUGGCCCAUAGCCUCCCUCCUGAUGCUCCUGAGCUACCUGGGGCAGCCUGGGCUGUGUCUAGGACUCUCAUGCUUUUCCCUGCCACCUACACAGCAUGCCCAGCAUCUGAAGACUUACUUCAUGAGAUGUCAGCUUCAUCUGCCCCACACCUGCUGCGUGGUCCUGCUGGGGCCCCAAAUCCCACCCGAGCUGCCAACUCUUGCCACCUCUCAUGGUGACAUCUCACAUCCCUGAGGCUGCUACACUGUUUCUGCAGCCCUCGAGACAAAAGUUCCUUCUUCCCUCCCAGACUUGAAGCAGUUGUGAGCGGCACACCACUCCCAGCUUACCUCAACUCCCAGAAUACCCAUCUGCAAGCUGUGCUUGGUUCUGGCUGCAGAGAAGGCAGGGCAUUUGAGUUUUUGAUGUGUGGUAUAUGUGCAUCUACCCUCUGGGGGGCUUAUAACAGGUUCGGUAGGUAUUAGG
ensembl:lncRNA